AGAGUUUGAUCAUGGCUCAGAUUGAACGCUGGCGGAAUGCUUUACACAUGCAAGUCGAACGGCAGCACGGGUACUUGUACCUGGUGGCGAGUGGCGAACGGGUGAGUAACAUAUCGGAACGUAUCCAAUAAUGGGGGAUAACGAGUCGAAAGAUUCGCUAAUACCACAUACGCCCUACGGGGGAAAGCUAGGGACCUUCGGGCCUGGCGUUAAUGGAGCGGCCGAUAUCUGAUUAGCUAGUUGGUGAGGUAAAGGCUCACCAAGGCGACGAUCAGUAGCUGGUCUGAGAGGACGACCAGCCACACUGGAACUGAGACACGGUCCAGACUCCUACGGGAGGCAGCAGUGGGGAAUUUUGGACAAUGGGGGCAACCCUGAUCCAGCCAUUCCGCGUGAGUGAAGAAGGCCUUCGGGUUGUAAAGCUCUUUCGCAAGGGAAGAAAACUUAUCCUCUAACAUAGGAUGAGGUUGACGGUACCUUGAUAAGAAGCACCGGCUAACUACGUGCCAGCAGCCGCGGUAAUACGUAGGGUGCGAGCGUUAAUCGGAAUUACUGGGCGUAAAGCGUGCGCAGGCUGUUUUGUAAGUCAGAUGUGAAAUCCCCGAGCUCAACCUGGGAACUGCGUUUGAAACUACAAGACUAGAAUAUGUCAGAGGGGGGUAGAAUUCCACGUGUAGCAGUGAAAUGCGUAGAGAUGUGGAGGAAUACCAAUGGCGAAGGCAGCCCCCUGGGAUAAUAUUGACGCUCAUGCACGAAAGCGUGGGGAGCAAACAGGAUUAGAUACCCCGGUAGUCC
rnacentral:rRNA from 1 species